rnacentral:rRNA from 1 species
AGGUAAUAAAUACUUUAAUAUAAACCAUUAUAGUUUGGCGGCAUUUCAUCUAUUUAGAGGAACCUGCUUCCUAAUCGAUAAUCCACGAUAAAUUUCACUUAACUCAAAAGUUUAUAUACCGCCAUCCAAAGAAUUAAUUUUAAAACCAAAUUCCAAAUAUUAAUCUAAAAAGUUAGGUCAAGGUGUAACCUAAAGUUAAGAUAAAAGUGGGUUACUAUAAAAACUAUUUAAGAAUUAAUUCACAAAAACAAGUUAUGAAAGAGGAUUUAAAAGUACCUUGUAAACAAUAUUUACAAACGAAACUAGAUAAUAAAUGUGC